rnacentral:rRNA from 1 species
CUGGGGUACUCGAGUGGCGAACGGGUGAGUAACACGUGGGUAAUCUGCCCUGCACUCUGGGAUAAGCCUGGGAAACUGGGUCUAAUACUGGAUAUGACCUUUCUCCUUAUGGGGUUUGGUGGAAAGUUUUCGGUGUAGGAUGAGCCCGCGGCCUAUCAGCUUGUUGGUGGGGUGAUGGCCUACCAAGGCGACGACGGGUAGCCGGCCUGAGAGGGUGAUCGGCCACAUUGGGACUGAGAUACGGCCCAG